rnacentral:tRNA from 1 species
GCGGAAGUGGCGAAAUUGGUAGACGCACCAGAUUUAGGUUCUGGCGCCGCAAAGUGUGAGAGUUCAAGUCUCUCCUUCCGCACCA